rnacentral:rRNA from 1 species
AGUUUGAUCAUGGCUCAGAUUGAACGCUGGCGGCAGGCCUAACACAUGCAAGUCGAGCGGUAACACAGAGAGCUUGCUCUCGGGUGACGAGCGGCGGACGGGUGAGUAAUGUCUGGGAAACUGCCUGAUGGAGGGGGAUAACUACUGGAAACGGUAGCUAAUACCGCAUAACGUCGCAAGACCAAAGUGGGGGACCUUCGGGCCUCAUGCCAUCAGAUGUGCCCAGAUGGGAUUAGCUAGUAGGUGGGGUAAUGGCUCACCUAGGCGACGAUCCCUAGCUGGUCUGAGAGGAUGACCAGCCACACUGGAACUGAGACACGGUCCAGACUCCUACGGGAGGCAGCAGUGGGGAAUAUUGCACAAUGGGCGCAAGCCUGAUGCAGCCAUGCCGCGUGUAUGAAGAAGGCCUUCGGGUUGUAAAGUACUUUCAGCGAGGAGGAAGGCGUUAAGGUUAAUAACCUUGGCGAUUGACGUUACUCGCAGAAGAAGCACCGGCUAACUCCGUGCCAGCAGCCGCGGUAAUACGGAGGGUGCAAGCGUUAAUCGGAAUUACUGGGCGUAAAGCGCACGCAGGCGGUCUGUCAAGUCGGAUGUGAAAUCCCCGGGCUCAACCUGGGAACUGCAUUCGAAACUGGCAGGCUAGAGUCUUGUAGAGGGGGGUAGAAUUCCAGGUGUAGCGGUGAAAUGCGUAGAGAUCUGGAGGAAUACCGGUGGCGAAGGCGGCCCCCUGGACAAAGACUGACGCUCAGGUGCGAAAGCGUGGGGAGCAAACAGGAUUAGAUACCCUGGUAGUCCACGCCGUAAACGAUGUCGACUUGGAGGUUGUGCCCUUGAGGCGUGGCUUCCGGAGCUAACGCGUUAAGUCGACCGCCUGGGGAGUACGGCCGCAAGGUUAAAACUCAAAUGAAUUGACGGGGGCCCGCACAAGCGGUGGAGCAUGUGGUUUAAUUCGAUGCAACGCGAAGAACCUUACCUACUCUUGACAUCCAGAGAACUUAGCAGAGAUGCUUUGGUGCCUUCGGGAACUCUGAGACAGGUGCUGCAUGGCUGUCGUCAGCUCGUGUUGUGAAAUGUUGGGUUAAGUCCCGCAACGAGCGCAACCCUUAUCCUUUGUUGCCAGCGAUUCGGUCGGGAACUCAAAGGAGACU